rnacentral:rRNA from 1 species
AGAGGUUUGUAGUCCUGGCUCAGGACGAACGCUGGCGGCGUGCUUAACACAUGCAAGUCGACGAAGGCCCUGCUUUGUGGGGUGCUCGAGUGGCGAACGGGUGAGUAACACGUGAGUAACCUGCCCUUGACUUUGGGAUAACUUCAGGGAAACUGGGGCUAAUACCGGAUAGGAGCUCCUGCUGCAUGGUGGGGUUGGAAAGUUUCGGCGGUUGGGGAUGGACUCGCGGCUUAUCAGCUUGUUGUGGGGUAGUGGCUUACCAAGGCUUUGACGGGUAGCCGGCCUGAGAGGGUGACCGGCCACAUUGGGACUGAGGUACGGCCCAGACUCCUACGGGAGGCAGCAGUGGGGAAUAUUGCACAAUGGGCGGAAGCCUGAUGCAGCAACGCCGCGUGCGGGAUGACGGCCUUCGGGUUGUAAACCGCUUUCGCCUGUGACGAAGCGUGAGUGACGGUAAUGGGUAAAGAAGCACCGGCUAACUACGUG